rnacentral:lncRNA from 1 species
GACACAAACCCCUGUGCCCUCUGAGUGCACCAGAGCUCGUUCUGCCCAGGGAACCUGGACCUUCGGUGGCUGUCUCUGCUGUCCCCAUGCUGUGCGGGAGCGUCCAGUCUGAUGCAAUCCAUCUGUCCAUCUUUGAUCGUGUUGCCUAAGCUUUGAAGGGCUGACUCGGAAACACUGUCCAGGCUCAUCAGUGCUUCCCCCUGUUGCCCACUAGUGUUUUCCCUAUCUCAAGUCUUAACAUUAAACCCUUCCAUGUAUUCUGAAA